rnacentral:rRNA from 1 species
CGAACGCUGGCGGCGUGCUUAACACAUGCAAGUCGAACGGAAAGGCCCUGCUUUUGUGGGGUGCUCGAGUGGCGAACGGGUGAGUAACACGUGAGUAACCUGCCCUUGACUUUGGGAUAACUUCAAGAAACUGGGGCUAAUACCGGAUAGGAGCUCCUGCUGCAUGGUGAGGGUUGGAAAGUUUCGGCGGUUGGGGAUGGACUCGCGGCUUAUCAGCUUGUUGGUGGGGUAGUGGCUUACCAAGGCUUUGACGGGUAGCCGGCCUGAGAGGGUGACCGGCCACAUUGGGACUGAGAUACGGCCCAGACUCCUACGGGAGGCAGCAGUGGGGAAUAUUGCACAAUGGGCGGAAGCCUGAUGCAGCAACGCCGCGUGCGGGAUGACGGCCUUCGGGUUGUAAACCGCUUUCGCCUGUGACGAAGCGUGAGUGACGGUAAUGGGUAAAGAAGCACCGGCUAACUACGUGCCAGCAGCCGCGGUGAUACGUAGGGUGCGAGCGUUGUCCGGAUUUAUUGGGCGUAAAGGGCUCGUAGGUGGUUGAUCGCGUCGGAAGUGUAAUCUUGGGGCUUAACCCUGAGCGUGCUUUCGAUACGGGUUGACUUGAGGAAGGUAGGGGAGAAUGGAAUUCCUGGUGGAGCGGUGGAAUGCGCAGAUAUCAGGAGGAACACCAGUGGCGAAGGCGGUUCUCUGGGCCUUUCCUGACGCUGAGGAGCGAAAGCGUGGGGAGCGAACAGGCUUAGAUACCCUGGUAGUCCACGCUGUAAACGGUGGGUACUAGGUGUGGGGUCCAUUCCACGGGUUCCGUGCCGUAGCUAACGCUUUAAGUACCCCGCCUGGGGAGUACGGCCGCAAGGCUAAAACUCAAAGGAAUUGACGGGGCCCCGCACAAGCGGCGGAGCAUGCGGAUUAAUUCGAUGCAACGCGUAGAACCUUACCUGGGUUUGACAUGGAUCGGGAGUGCUCAGAGAUGGGUGUGCCUCUUUUGGGGUCGGUUCACAGGUGGUGCAUGGCUGUCGUCAGCUCGUGUCGUGAGAUGUUGGGUUAAGUCCCGCAACGAGCGCAACCCUUGUUCACUGUUGCCAGCACGUUAUGGUGGGGACUCAGUGGAGACCGCCGGGGUCAACUCGGAGGAAGGUGGGGAUGACGUCAAGUCAUCAUGCCCCUUAUGUCCAGGGCUUCACGCAUGCUACAAUGGCUGGUACAGAGAGUGGCGAGCCUGUGAGGGUGAGCGAAUCUCGGAAAGCCGGUCUCAGUUCGGAUUGGGGUCUGCAACUCGACCUCAUGAAGUCGGAGUCGCUAGUAAUCGCAGAUCAGCAACGCUGCGGUGAAUACGUUCCCGGGGCUUGUACACACCGCCCGUCAAGUCAUGAAAGUUGGUAACACCCGAAGCCGGUGGCCUAACCGUUGUGGGGGAGCCGUCGAAGGUGGGACUGGUGAUUAGG